rnacentral:misc_RNA from 1 species
GAUGAAGAACGUAGUGAAAUGCGAUAAGUAAUGUGAAUUGCAGAAUUCAGUGAAUCAUCGAAUCUUUGAACGCACAUUGCGCCCCCUGGUAUUCCGGGGGGCAUGCCUGUCCGAGCGUCAUUGCUGCCCUCAAGCACGGCUUGUGUGUUGGGCUCCGUCCCCCCGGGGACGGGCCCGAAAGGCAGCGGCGGCACCGAGUCCGGUCCUCGAGCGUAUGGGGCUUUGUCACCCGCUCUGUAGGCCCGGCCGGCGCCAGCCGACAACCCAUCAUCCUUUUCAGGUUGACCUCGGAUCAGGUAGGGAUACCCGCUGAACUUAAGCAUAUCAAUAAGCGGAGGA